rnacentral:rRNA from 1 species
AUACUUAGUGGCAGACGGGUGAGUAACAUGUGGGUAUCUGCCCUUUGGCCUGGAAUAACACGAGGAAACUUGUGCUAAUACUGGAUAAGUCUUUACGGAGAAAGCUUUAUGCACCAUUGGAUGAGCCCGCAUUUGAUUAGUUUGUUGGUGGGGUAAUGGCCUACCAAGACUUUGAUCAAUAGCUGAUUUGAGAGGAUGAUCAGCCACAUUGGGACUGAGACACGGCCCAAACUCCUACGGGAGGCAGCAGUGGGGAAUCUUGCACAAUGGAGGAAACUCUGAUGCAGCGAUGCCGCGUGAGUGAAGAAGGCCCUUGGGUUGUAAAGCUCUUUCGUCGGGGAAGAAAAUGACUGUACCCGAAUAAGAAGGUCCGGCUAACUUCGUGCCAGCAGCCGCGGUAAUACGAAGGGACCUAGCGUAGUUCGGAAUUACUGGGCUUAAAGAGUUCGUAGGUGGUUGAAAAAGUUGGUGGUGAAAUCCCAGAGCUUAACUCUGGAACUGCCAUCAAAACUUUUCAGCUAGAGUUUGAUAGAGGAAAGCAGAAUUUCUAGUGUAGAGGUGAAAUUCGUAGAUAUUAGAAAGAAUACCAAUUGCGAAGGCAGCUUUCUGGAUCAUUACUGACACUGAGGAACGAAAGCAUGGGUAGCGA